UAUUUUCUUUGUCCCUCUUUUUUUAGGUUUCACCAUCUCUCUCGCUCUUGUAUUCAAUUAUUUAGACUAGAGUGGUGAUCAGGCGAUGGAACUUGCACGAAGCAAAACAUUUAAAAUUUCAAUUGUAUUAAGUUGUGGCUGAAAGUAGCUACGAGAUUGGUUAAAUUACAAAAAAUUGCCGCGAACCAUCGCAGAAACCUAAUUUGAUGCUUCUGCGUAGAGUUGUGACGUCAUCAGUGCUUCGUGCAUUAGCUUUCGCAAUUUCAUGCAAGCCAAAACGCGGUCGGUUCAUGCUGGUUCAUUACUAAGGCGUGGUCGUUCGUAUUUGCAAGUUGUGUUGUCGGCGUCUUUUAAAUUCAACAUUUUAGAUUAACCGAUGAAUGAGACAGAAAGAGAGGGUUGAAGUUAAUUUUGAUCCUGGUACUGAAAAAAAUCAAAUCGUCUAUCAAGGUACUCUUUGCUGUUGACUUUACGCCUUCGACAAUUUUACAGUCAAUUGAGAUUAGCCAACCGUUCAGGCUGAUUAUACUGAAACAACCAAUGUCUACAAUGAUGUCGACUUUGCUGGACUUGCUUAUUGAUUUGCCGUUUCCGUCUUCAUUGUGCAACAUCAUGCAGAUAAUUUUCAACCUUCGAGUGAAAGCAACCAGAGGUACAUGAGGGUACACUGCGAGUAGAGAAAUGAACAGGAUAUUGACCCACAAAUGAGAAGGAAAUGCAGUUAACUUUGAUGCUACUGAAACAACCGAUGCUUUUGACGUCUUCAUCUUGCAACAUUAUGCAGUUAAUUUUUGCUGUAACAAUGGGAGGCAAUUGGAAAUUAAUUAACUUGGAAGCGAGGGACAAAAAAUUGCUUGCUGUGGUAUCCCUCCUAGAUUGGUUUGCUCAUCACACUGAUAGACUUUAGAACGCCAGUUUCUACAAUUAAUUGAGGUUAUACAACAAACGGGAGAGAAUUAAUGUUCAGUUUGGUUAUACUGAAACAGCCAAUACUACUUGGGUGUGGUCUUUCGUGGAUUAUAUUCUUCAUUUGCUGUUUCGUCUUCGCCUUGUAACAUCAUACAGUUAAUUUUCAACCCAUGAGUGAGAGCCACUGGAUAUUUACUUGAAUUCCACUGAAAUAACUUCUCUGCUACAGUGUUCCUCCUGGAGUUAGUUUGCUUUGACACCUGUAAACUUUGGAACGUUACGUUCUACAAUUAAUUAAGGUGAGAAUAAUUGAUAUAAUUAAUUUUAAUUG